UGAAUCUGCUCCCCUUGACGUUGAACGGACUCCGCUUGUUGCCGCACCACUCCAAUGAGCGCGGCCAUUUGCUCCCUAAGCUCUCCGUCGCCACUCGCUCCGGAUCGCUCGGGCUCCGCACUCGGCUCCUCCGGCAUCGACCUUGUCUGCGGUCGUCCACGAGGUGCCAUUGCUUCCUGAAAAGAAGCAACUCGCAUUAGCUACUUGACCAACAUUACUUGACCAACCCAAUC
rnacentral:lncRNA from 1 species